rnacentral:rRNA from 1 species
CCUACGGGAGGCAGCAGUGGGGAAUAUUGCUCAAUGGGGGAAACCCUGAAGCAGCGACGCCGCGUGAGGGACGAAGGUUUUCGGUAUGUAAAGCUCUAUUAGUAGAGGAGAAAAUUACGGUACCUGAGUAAUACGCCCCGGCUAACUACGUGCCAGCAGCCGCGGUAAUACGUAGGGGGCAAGCGUUAUCCGGAUUUACUGGGUGUAAAGGGGGCGUAGGCGGGAGAACAAGUCUGGAGUGAAAUGCUGGGGCUUAACCCCGGAACUGCUUUUGAAACUGUGCGGCUAGAGUGCAGGAGAGGUAUGUGGAAUUCUUGGUGUAGCGGUGAAAUGCGUAGAUAUUAAGAGGAACACCAAUGGCGAAGGCGGCUUACUGGACUGUAACUGACGCUGAGGCGCGAAAGCGUGGGGAGCAAACAGGAUUAGAUACCCGGGUAGUC